UUGCUCUUCAACGAGGAAUACCUAGUAAGCGUGAGUCAUCAGCUCGCGUUGAUUACGUCCCUGCCCUUUGUACACUCCGCCCGUCGCUACUACCGAUUGAAUGGCUUAGUGAGAUCUUGGGAUUGGCUUCGGGGAGCCGGAAACGGCACCCUGUUGCUGAGAACUUGAUCAAACUUGGUCAUUUAGAGGAAGUAAAAGUCGUAACAAGGUUUCCGUAGGUGAACCUGCGGAAGGAUCAUUAACGAGUUUUGAAAUGGGUUGUAGCUGGCCUUUGAAAAAAUAGAAGGCAUGUGCACGCCCUGCUCAUCCACUCUCAUACCCCUGUGCACUUAUUGUAGGCUUGGGUGGGAUGAUCAACUGUAAGGUUGGUUUGAAAGCCUUUAGUCUAUGCUUUAUUACAAACUCUACAAAGUCAUAGAAUGUCACAUUAGCGUAUAACGCAAUAAAUACAACUUUCAGCAACGGAUCUCUUGGCUCUCGCAUCGAUGAAGAACGCAGCGAAAUGCGAUAAGUAAUGUGAAUUGCAGAAUUCAGUGAAUCAUCGAAUCUUUGAACGCACCUUGCGCUCCUUGGUAUUCCGAGGAGCAUGCCUGUUUGAGUGUCAUGGUAUUCUCAACCUUUAAAGCUUUUUUUAAUCAAAAGGCAAUGAAGGCUUGGAAUUGGAGGUUUGUGUUGGCGCAAGUCAACUCCUCUGAAAUGCAUUAGUGUGAACCUUUACGGAUCACUGUCAGUGUGAUAAUUAUCUACACUGUGGUGUUGAAGUAUAUACAUGGUGUUCAUGCUUCUAACUGUCCUUUAUUGGACAUUGAUUUUUGACAAUCUGACCUCAAAUCAGGUAGGACUACCCGCUGAACUUAAGCAUAUCAAUAAGCGGAGGA
rnacentral:rRNA from 1 species